rnacentral:rRNA from 1 species
GAUGAACGCUGGCGGCGUGCCUCAAACAUGCAAGUCGAGCGAGGCUAUGAAUUACCGCAAGGUAAGGCAUAGCCUAGCGGCGAACGGGUGAGUAACACGUGGGUAACCUACCUGGAAGACAGGGAUAACGAUUCGAAAGGGUCGCUAAUACCUGAUAAUAUCCAUCUGCCGGAUGGCGGAGGGAAGAAAGGGGAAACCCGCUUUCAGAUGGGCCCGCGUCCCAUCAGCUAGUUGGUAAGGUAAAGGCUUACCAAGGCGACGACGGGUAGCCGGUCUGAGAGGAUGUACGGCCACACUGGGACUGAGAUACCGGCCCAGACUCCUACGGGAGGCAGCAGUUGGGAAUCUUAGGCAAUGGACGAAAGUCUGACCUAGCGACGCCGCGUGAGGGAAGAAGGCCUUCGGGUUGUAAACCUCUGUCAUGGGGGAAGAAGGAAGUGACGGUACCCCAAGAGGAAGCCCCUGCUAACUACGUG